rnacentral:rRNA from 1 species
UACAGAGGUCUCAAGCGUUGUUCGGAUUCAUUGGGCGUAAAGGGCGCGUAGGCGGUGGGGUAAGUCGGGUGUGAAAUCUCAGAGCUCAACUCUGAAACUGCACUCGAUACUGCUCUGCUUGAGGACUGGAGAGGAGACUGGAAUUCACGGUGUAGCAGUGAAAUGCGUAGAUAUCGUGAGGAACACCGGUGGCGAAGGCGGUUCUCUGGGCCUUACCUGACGCUGAGGAGCGAAAGCGUGGGGAGCGAACGG